GAUGAACGCUGGCGGCGUGCCUAAUACAUGCAAGUCGAGCGAACGGACGAGAAGCUUGCUUCUCUGAUGUUAGCGGCGGACGGGUGAGUAACACGUGGAUAACCUACCUAUAAGACUGGGGUAACUUCGGGAAACCGUAGCUAAUACCGGAUAAUAUUUUGAACCGCAUGGUUCAAAAGUGAAAGACGGUCUUGCUGUCACUUAUAGAUGGAUCCGCGCUGCAUUAGCUAGUUGGUAAGGUAACGGCUUACCAAGGCAACGAUGCAUAGCCGACCUGAGAGGGUGAUCGGCCACACUGGAACUGAGACACGGUCCAGACUCCUACGGGAGGCAGCAGUAGGGAAUCUUCCGCAAUGGGCGAAAGCCUGACGGAGCAACGCCGCGUGAGUGAUGAAGGUCUUCGGAUCGUAAAACUCUGUUAUUAGGGAAGAACAUAUGUGUAAGUAACUGUGCACAUCUUGACUGUACCUAAUCAGAAAGCCACGGCUAACUACGUG
rnacentral:rRNA from 1 species